AAUCAACGCUGGCGGCGUGCCUCAGACAUGCAAGUCGAACGAUUAAAGCUCUCUUCGGAGAGUGCAUAGAGUGGCGCACGGGUGAGUAACACGUAAGUAAUCUACCCUCGAGUGGGGAAUAACGUCCGGAAACGGACGCUAAUACCGCAUAAUGCAGCGGCACCGCAAGGUGACAGUUGUUAAAGAUUUAUCGCUUGAGGAGGAGCUUGCGGCAGAUUAGCUAGUUGGUAAGGUAAUGGCUUACCAAGGCUACGAUCUGUAACCGGUCUUAGAGGACGGUCGGUCACACUGACACUGAAUAACGGGUCAGACUCCUACGGGAGGCAGCAGUCGGGAAUUUUGGGCAAUGGGCGAAAGCCUGACCCAGCAACGCCGCGUGAAGGAUGAAGUAUUUCGGUAUGUAAACUUCGAAAGAAUAGGAAGAAUUAAUGACGGUACUAUUUAUAAGGUCCGGCUAACUACGUG
rnacentral:rRNA from 1 species